GUAGGUGGCAAGCGUUGUCCGGAAUUAUUGGGGCGUAAAGCGCGCGCAGGCGGUUCUUUAAGUCUGAUGUGAAAGCCCACGGGCUCAACCGUGGAGGGUCAUUGGAAACUGGAGAACUUGAGUACAGAAGAGGAAAGCGGAAUUCCACGUGUAGCGGUGAAAUGCGUAGAGAUGUGGAGGAACACCAGUGGCGAAGGCGGCUUUCUGGUCUGUAACUGACGCUGAGGCGCGAAAGCGUGGGGAGCAAACAGGAUUAGAUACCCUGGUAGUCCACGCUGUAAACGAUGAGUGCUAAGUGUUAGGGGGUUUCCGCCCCUUAGUGCUGCAGCUAACGCAUUAAGCACUCCGCCUGGGGAGUACGGCCGCAAAGGCUG
rnacentral:rRNA from 1 species